AACAAAGGAAGUUGCUCUGUGCCAGAGGGCAAGUGGAUGGGCCCUCUCCCUCACCUGGCUGCCAUGUGAAAAAGAGAAAAGCAAAGUAGAAUGUUGUGAACUGGGCUAGAAGCAGGCAGAAUCCAGAAAGUGCAAGCCAUGCUUAAUUUCUGCUGGAAUUCAAGGUAGUUACUAUGGGAGAAGCAAGACCUUCUGAGGUGUUAAUACUAUGAGCCCCUCCACCAUAGGCUCAGGUUGUAUGUAAAUUUGUAUAAAUAAACAAUAUAGCCUAAAGACACCAAAGCCUCCACUGUCCGAUAUUCCAGGGAAAUUAACCCUGGAAUCUGGAAUAUUACUGCUCAGAGAUUGGGGUGGCAUGUGGCAGUAUUUAAGGCCUCCCUCCUGAGCCUUCCUGUGGCUGGAGAUAAGGCAGGCCUUUGGUUCCUAGUGGUUGAUGCUACACUUCCAGCUGACUUGAGUUGCCUGAAUUCCCUGCCUGAACCUUGGACCGUUGACUCACUUUGUCUUUGGAUCAUGUUUGGACCUAGAAUGAUUCUCUGUGGUUGAUCUGAGUUUACCUGGACUGGGGCAGCAACUGCAAUUGUAAACUCUUGCCUUAUAAAUGAAUUGCCAGACAGCACAACCCCACUAAUUUCUACACAGAAGUGGGACUUACUCUUUAGAAAGCACACUAUGGAUGGCAGCCUUAACUACAAGUUAUACCAAACCACAUUAAGAGGUAGAAGAUACUGCAGUCUAUCCAGUGGCAUCAAGAUCAUCAAACAAACUCUAACUGGGAGGUCCGCACCCCCACCCCCUUGCCCCCAUUCCCUCUAUUUACUUCAUGAACUUGCUGGUGCCUGUCAGUUGUUGAUGCAUCUAACAUCACAUGGUAUUUAAGCCCAUAAUUUUUAAAUAUUUUUUAUAACUAGCAUUAUUUUUAUCACCAGUGUUGUUAUUGCUAAGCCAGGUGUGCACCUGCUCAGAAUCCAUGCCAGGUAAUGUCAGGUUAGGUCUAGUCCAGCAUCCUUCAUGUUAAACUGUUAAACUGUGGAACUCUCUCCCACAGGAGGCAGUGGUGGCAACCAACCUGGGUCACUUUAAAAGAGGAUUGGACAAAUUCAUGGGGGAAGACAAGGCUAUGUUCUGCCUCCACAGCAGGAGGUGGCAAUGCUUCUGAAUCCCAGUUACUGGAACCUGCAGGAAUCAUAGAAUCAUAGAAUUGUAGAACUCUAAGGGUCAUCUAGUCCAACCUCCUGCAAUGCAGGAAAACAAGGGUGUUCUUGUUCUGGGAUCCUGUUUGCAGGUUUUCCACAGGCAUCUAGUUGGCCACUGUGAGCACCGGUUGCUGGACUAGAUGGGCAAUUGGCCCACAGCUGUUAAGCGUCCCUUAUUUGGUGGGACAGUCCCUUAUCCCAGUGCCAUGUUCCGCUGCUGUCCCUUAUUGAUGAUGUCCCUUAAAUUUCCCAGGUUUCAAAGGAAGCAGCUCCUCUCCCUCCCUCGCCGGCCAGGGAGGAGGGAGGCUCCAACUGUGUUGCUUGGCAGCGUUGCUCACUCAAUAAGAAGUCUAAGAAUGACUGGGGGGGUAGAGCUUGCAUGCCUUGUGCCGAUCAAAUCGGCCGCGUUGCCUGGGGACUCGCCUUUGCUCAGCGCUUCCCAGCGGAGAGGCGACAGUCGUUUUCCUUGAGGCUUGAGGCUUCGUUUGGCUGCUGGCUGGGCUUUCUGCCUUUGGCUCGGAGGGGCUCAGAAGUUGAACAUACCUGUGCUUGGAAAAUCCCUUAUUUUGGCUGCUGAUCCCUUAUUUUUGAGGCUGCUGGUCCCUUAUUUUCAAAUCUGUAAGUUGACAGCUAUGAAUUGGCUUGAUCCAGCAGGCUCUUCUGAUGUUCUUAACCUGGCUUGUAUUCAGUGUCUGUCCUAUAAUACUAAUACUAAUAUUAAUAAUACUAAUACUAAUAAUAAUAAUAUUUUAUUUAUACCCCGCGCUCCCCAGCGAAGACUGGGCUCAGGGCAGCUAACACCAGAUAUAAAACAAUUGAUUGAAAUACAACUCAAAAAAGAUUAAAAUACGACAUUAAAAUGCAGCCUCAUUUCAGUAGAAACUCAAAAACUUUUUUUGGGAUGAAAACAUCACGUCUUCACCAAGGCUAACUAUCCAGACUGGUCCUUCGUGGGCCAGAAAAAAGCCAGGGAAGUCCCCAAGUAGGAGUUCCAUCACAGAAGG